rnacentral:lncRNA from 1 species
GCUCCAUUUUGGUGAAUUUACCGAAUUGGAAAGAAGGGAAGGGCGGAGAAUCCAACUCGAGCCAGAGGUUUUUGCCCUUCCUACGAGCACAGACGAUGGUUUUCCCGAGGACUGACUUCUGGAAAUCGGAGGGCGAGAUUCCAUCGAUCACUUUGUUGUCGUCGGCGAUGAGGACUCGCUUGAUCUUCUUCCCGACACAGUUAUCCGCUAUCGCUCUCCUCGCCGCCUCUACCUCCGGCAGCUCUGGCAUCGUUCGCAAUUUAGGGUUUUGGUCUUGGCGCGCUUUUGGUUCCGAUUAGUCUUUGCUCUCUUCCUCGUUUAAUAUAAGCAACUUAUUAUUUGUUACUUUUUUUUACUAAUCUAAGGCUAAUUCUCAAAUUGAUUUUUUUUUUUUGUCAAGAUGAGUUAUGGAAUUUUUUUUUGAUUUUUGGUUACUCUUAAAUGUGUUGUUAGGCUCGAAACUACUUUUUAAAUAGUUUAUUGUAUAAUAGUCUUUGAGAAAAAGACUAGCAUAGCACCAAACCAAGUUUAUGUUCUCAAAGUAGCACUCAAGGUUCAAAGUCACAAAAAUAUGUUUCAUUAAAGAGGUAAAUAUACACUUAUAUCCCUUGGGUUAAUUAAUCCAAACCUUAGGGUUUAGAGUUAAGGGGUGGGGUUUUGGAAUUAGGGUUUAAAAUUUUAUAAAAAAACUUCCCUUCGGCUUCUUGUUACCAGCUUUCUCUUCAGGUUUCUUCUUAAUCGCAGCCUUCGUACCACGGCCUCUGGGUUUCACAACUUCCUCUUCAGCGUCACUUUCAUCUUCUUCACCAUCAGCAUCAUCGUCCUCAUCCUCACUAUCUUUUGUUUUUCUUUUCAGUGCAGGCUUCUUACCACGACCUUUAGGUUUUUGAUUCUUCGGUUUAGCACUAUCAUCUUCUUUCUCCAAUUCUUCUUCUUCAUCGUCUUCUUUUGAUUUUGCACCACCCCUUUUAGCCGGUUUAGCCUUGGCUGCUUUCUCCGCAUCUUUCCCAGAGAGUUUCUGCAGCUCUGGGACAUAAGCUGUUGUCUACAGAAGAAAAACAACCCAAACACAAACGUUUCUUCAGUUCACCACAUGAAUCAAACACCCAACAGUGGCCUAACAAUGUAUUAGAUACACUUACCCUUCCACCAGCAGUGAUGAAAUCAAUCUUCUUCCCUGCAAUAACCAAAACAGACAUCAUCACCAAUCACAUACUCUUACAUCAAAAAAUCAUUGUCAUGACAUUUAAGCCAACUAUUAUGUGGAUUAUCAACUAAAGUUGGAGGUUUUGAAAGAUCAAAACAUUAUAAUGAACUGGGCUCAGACCAUCAACAAAAGCUUUUCCUGGCUUCUCUUCCCUAGCAUGAAAAAUCCAGUUACUAGGAAACUGACUACUCUCUGCAUCAACUUCCACAGCUUUUUCUAUCACCUGCAAAAAAACCCCAGUUUGUCUCUUCAUCAAACUAUGCAUAGGUGGAUGAAAAAGCUUACCAUUAACAUUCCCAGGUUUUUUCCCCCACCGAAAAUGAAAUAACCAUUCAACAGGAAACUCUUUGCUAUCAGCAUUGACUUGAACCGCAUGUAGAAUAACCUACAAAUUUGUUUUUCUUUCUGUUUUCUCUCUAAGUCCCAAAUGUACAAUGCAUAAUAUGCAAGUUAACAGAUCGUUCUGUUAUGCCCAUGUUUUGUAGGUAAUGGUGUUAAGAGUAUUACCUCUUUGAUGGAUGUGUGCAAGGCUUCACAUUGCUCUUUGGAGAGGCUAGAAGCAGUCUGCAAUGGGUGGAUUCUUGCCUGCGAAAGAGAAAGACAAGCAGCAUUAACACUCUACAACAUGUAAAUCAAAUCGUAAAAUGUACAAAAAAAGUGAAUACUUUGUGAAUCAAAUGAGUGGUUGCAUAGAUGAUUCAUUUGAUCUGUAGUUUAUUUUAAUAGCUUAAAGCUCAGCUUACUUGGUACAGAACUUCAUCGGCAAUCCAGUUCCCAAUACCUGAAAUGAAACCCUGCAAAAGAAGAGGAAAACCCUCAAUCACACAGAAGAUCAUUUCAAGUUUAUUGCAGGCUUAGUUAUGUCAGUAUCCAAAUUCAAUGUUAUUUGUGAUAAUAGUAAGGACACGAAAGAUCUGAAAGAUGCAUAGAAGCCAAGAGGAAAGUGAGAAAGAAAAAUGAAACAAACUCCAAACCUGAUCAAGUAGGAGAGGUUUGAUGGUUAUUUUCUUUUUAGCUAAGCUUUUGGCAAAUUCAUCAACUGUCAUAGGCUCCAACAAUGCAUCAGGACCAAGCUCUGAUAUUGGACGCACAGAAACGGGCUGCAAUAGCACAAACAUCCCAACCACAAGAUCAAGCUUAGUAAAGAAAGCAAGCAAGAUAAGAGUUAAUACAUUUUCCAAAAGCCGAACUUUGGCAAAUCUCCUCUUGUCAGUAAAUGAAAGCUCUAAACCAUCAUCAAGCUGCAAACAUCAAAAUGAAGCAAGUAGUGAACACAUCUUCGAGUCAGUAAUCAAUUAAAAACAAGACUUUUUUCCAACCUCAACAAAGAACUUAGAGUACUUAGAAGGCCACUCCUCUGAAUCCUUAACAGCAGACCUAUACAAACAAUGCAUAUACACAACAUCAAUCUUUAAUCCAUAGGAACUAAACAAUGUAUAACCCAUUCACCUUUUAUAUUUAGUAACAGCAACGCCUUUGAUGUAGAUAGCACCAGCCAUACCUGAACAAACCCCAAAACCAAUAAAGGUCGAGACUUUUAACUAUGAACAGUGCUCCAUUUUGGUGAAUUUACCGAAUUGGAAAGAAGGGAAGGGCGGAGAAUCCAACUCGAGCCAGAGGUUUUUGCCCUUCCUACGAGCACAGACGAUGGUUUUCCCGAGGACUGACUUCUGGAAAUCGGAGGGCGAGAUUCCAUCGAUCACUUUGUUGUCGUCGGCGAUGAGGACUCGCUUGAUCUUCUUCCCGACACAGUUAUCCGCUAUCGCUCUCCUCGCCGCCUCUACCUCCGGCAGCUCUGGCAUCGUUCGCAAUUUAGGGUUUUGGUCUUGGCGCGCUUUUGGUUCCGAUUAGUCUUUGCUCUCUUCCUCGUUU